rnacentral:lncRNA from 1 species
CUCGGAUUCUUGUCUAUAAAAUGAAAAAAGAAAAUUGAACUAGAUUCUCCAAGGAUGCUCCCGGUUCUAAUAAUACAGUAUUGGAAAAGCUGUAUUUCUUAGGCUACGAUUAAGUAAUAGGCCUCUUUCCCCACAUUUUUCUGCACCCAGUGGACUCAGCAGCAGGCUCUUCUUUUUGCUGAUGCACUGAGAGAUGGUGAUGGAACCGGGAACCUGACCGACUCCAGUGCCCAGUACCGAGUGUCAUCUCGAGUGGACAGAGCACUUGCUUCUCCGGGUUCUGGAAUUCCCAUGGUGCUGUACAGGAAUGUGGUGACAAAUCUGACAACCUGAGAAAGGAGCAUCGUGCAACAGCAAGUCACCAGGGUGGUUCAUUCGUGCUGCAGAUUUGCCUGCCAUCCUUGGCCCCCAGUCACCUGCUCCACUAUCACUGCGGGGAAGAGCGUCACAUGUCAGCAUCCUGGAGCCCGGGGAAGGAGUCUGCUUUGAAUCCUCCGAAGUAA